rnacentral:rRNA from 1 species
AUUGAACGCUGGCGGCAUGCUUUACACAUGCAAGUCGAACGGCAGCGCGGGCUUCUGCCUGGCGGCGAGUGGCGCACGGGUGAGUAAUACAUCGGAACGUGCCCCCUUGUGGUGGAUAGCUCGUCGAAAGCCGGAUUAAUACCGCAUACGACCUGAGGGUGAAAGCGGGGGAUCUUCGGACCUCGCGCUAUUGGGGCGGCCGAUGGCAGAUUAGCUAGUUGGUGGGGUGAAGGCCUACCAGGGCGACGAUCUGUAGCUGGUCGGAGAGGACGACCAGCCACACGGGAACUGAGACAGGGACAAGACGACUACGGGAGGCAGCAGUGGGGAACGGUGGACAGUGGGCGAAAGCAUGAUCCAGCAAGGCCGCGUGUGUGAUAAAGGCGUUCGGGGUGUAAAGAACUUUUGGGGGGAAUGAAAAGGACUGUGCCAAUACCACGGUUGGAUGACGGUACCCGCAGAAUAAGCACCGGCUAACUACGUG